rnacentral:rRNA from 1 species
CCUACGGGAGGCAGCAGUGGGGAAUAUUACACAAUGGGGGGAACCCUGAUGCAGCGACGCCGCGUGAGUGAAGAAGUAUUUCGGUAUGUAAAGCUCUAUCAGCAGGGAAGAAAAUGACGGUACCUGACUAAGAAGCCCCGGCUAACUACGUGCCAGCAGCCGCGGUAAUACGUAGGAGGCCAGCGUUAUCCGGAUUUACUGGGUGUAACGGGAGCGCAGACGGCUGUGCAAGUCUGGAGUGAAAGGCGGGGGCCCAACCCCCGGACUGCUCUGGACACUGUAAAGCUGGAGUGCAGGAGAGGUAAGCGGAAGUCCUAGGGUAGCGGUGAAAUGCGUAGAUAUUAGGAGGAACACCAGUGGCGAAGGCGGCUUACUGGACUGCAACUGACGUUGAGGCUCGAAAGCGUGGGGAGCAAACAGGAUUAGAUACCCGAGUAGUC